rnacentral:rRNA from 1 species
AUUGAACGCUGGAGGCAGGCCUAACACAUGCAAGUCGAGCGAGCGGCGGACGGGUGAGUAAUGUCUGGGAAACUGCCUGAUGGAGGGGGAUAACGACUGGAAACGGUAGCUAAUACCGCAUAACAUCAGAUGUGCCAAAAUGGGAUUAGCUAGUAGGGGGGGUAACGGCUCCCCUAGGCGACGAUCCCUAGCUGGUCUGAGAGGAUGACCAGCCACACUGGAACUGAGAUGCGGUCCCGACUCCUACGGUAGGUAGCAGUGGGGAAUAUUUCACAAUUGGCGCAAGCCUGAUGCAGCCAUGCCGCGUGUGUGAAGAAGGCCUUCGGGUUGUAAAGCACUUUCAGCGGGGAGGCGUUACCCGCAGAGGAAGCACCGGCUAACUCCGUGCCAGCAGCCGCGGUAAUAC